UCGAACGGUAACAGGUCUUCGGAUGCUGACGAGUGGCGAACGGGUGAGUAAUACAUCGGAACGUGCCCGAUCGUGGGGGAUAACGGAGCGAAAGCUUUGCUAAUACCGCAUACGAUCCACGGAUGAAAGCAGGGGACCGCAAGGCCUUGCGCGGACGGAGCGGCCGAUGGCAGAUUAGGUAGUUGGUGGGAUAAAAGCUUACCAAGCCGACGAUCUGUAGCUGGUCUGAGAGGACGACCAGCCACACUGGGACUGAGACACGCCCCAGACUCCUACGGGAGGCAGCAGUGGGGAAUUUUGGACAAUGGGCGCAAGCCUGAUCCAGCCAUGCCGCGUGCAGGAUGAAGGCCUUCGGGUUGUAAACUGCUUUUGUACGGAACGAAAAGACUCUGGUUAAUACCUGGGGUCCAUGACGGUACCGUAAGAAUAAGCACCGGCUAACUACGUGCCAGCAGCCGCGGUAAUACGUAGGGUGCAAGCGCUAAUCGGAAUUACUGGGCGUAAAGCGUGCGCAGGCGGCUUUGCAAGACAGAUGUGAAAUCCCCGGGCUCAACCUGGGAACUGCAUUUGUGACUGCAAGGCUAGAGUACGGCAGAGGGGGAUGGAAUUCCGCGUGUAGCAGUGAAAUGCGUAGAUAUGCGGAGGAACACCAAUGGCGAAGGCAAUCCCCUGGGCCUGUACUGACGCUCAUGCACGAAAGCGUGGGGAGCAAACAGGAUUAGAUACCCUGGUAGUCCACGCCCUAAACGAUGUCAACUGGUUGUUGG
rnacentral:rRNA from 1 species